GCACCGGCCGACGGCAGCGCCGACCGCGACGGCCUCGAGGGCCGCCGCUCCGUAUGGCGCCCCCUCGCGGCGCGCGGCGAGAGCGGAGGGCCGAAGUAAAUAAAUACAGCGCGUGGCGGAGAGCAGCCGUCGGGUGGGAGGAGGUGGGGAUGGGAGCGGAGGGACGGGCAUCUUCCGGCAGCAGCCGCGUUGUGAGAUGCUGCCGCAGGAGUCUCCAUAUGGUUUGUGUCAUUGCCCCAGGACAAAAGAGACAUCCAGGAUUUGGACAGAGUUUCUGCUGCUGUUCUUCCAAAGCCUCCAUCCCAGCUGCUCACAUCAGGAACAAAGCGAGGCCCUAACCCUUGGCAAUUCCUAGCAGCAGAAAGGGCCACCAGAGCUAGCGGUGUUGGUGAGCAGCAGCAGGCACAGGUUUGUAAGCACUUAAUGGAAGAAAGGCAGAUGCCAUUGGUAAGAGUGGUCUGGCAUAAACAGGAAUCCCAGACCUUCCCUUCAGUGUCUUUGGUCUGAGGUGUUUGUCUGGCGGUUGUUUUCUUUGUAUGUGUUUGAGAUCAAAGGAGAAUAUGGUACUUCAAACAAAAUGUGCAAGGGCCCACCCUUCCUGAAUUGCACUUUUGAUAAUGUGUUCAGUCCUGCUGCUGUAAUACUCCGCAGAAGGGUUUUUUCUUUCUUUUUUUUUUUAUAAACUCCACUCCUUUUUAUUAUAUGUCACAAGAGAAUUUUAAUAGAUGUUUUUGUAAGAUUACUUUACAGUCUCUGAUCCUACACUUCUUUCCACAUAGUCUGUGAGAGGAGCCAGCAGCUUUAACUCAUCAGAAGUUUGUGUGAUGUAUUACUUACAGUGGAUGUAGGUGCCAGAAGUGACCUGUAAACCUAAUACUAAAUUGGGGCUACAAAAUUAAUUUCACUUAGAUUGUGGAAAUUAGACUAGAAAUAGAAUUCCUCUGGGAGCUGUGUAAACCUUGACAUUGAUUUAAUGUAAUUCUUUCCUUAAGAGGGUAACUUUAAAUUGUAUAACAAUACAUAGUUUUAACCAGCACAUAUUUCUAGCAAAUUGUGCAGUAAGACAAGUAUUAACAGGAACAUUCAGUGGUAUUUCUGAAUUUAAAGAUCAGUGUGUAGCUCUGUGGAUGCUGACAAGAAGGUCAGAUGUCAUACCCCUCCCUCCCCCUCUGCCCCCCCACCUGAUCAGAUAGGUCAAGUUAUAAAGCCUGUGUGUCAUUGCCAAGCAUCUCCAUUCAGUCCAUAAAUUGUAAUUUAUAAUAUACAAAUUAUAUCCAAAUCACACUAAUUUACCUUGACUGGGGAGAAUUUGUUAACUUGGAUCCAGCAAUUAAAGGUCUGAUUAGCUCCAGAACAAAAAUGUUUAUUGUGUUACUGAAUGGCAAGUGAGUGUUUGUUUUAUGCCUUAAUUUAGACUGAAAUUAUUCUGAAUCAUUCAAAUGUUUAUUUUUGCUCUGGAUGACAGCAUAUUCUAUACUAAAAAGCAUAUUUUCUUCUUGAGAUGUAGAAAUAUUUUGUUGUUUUUAAAGGGAACAUGUAUAGGUUUCUUUCUUCAGGUUAUUGCCUGAGCAGGCUGUUUGUACAAGUCUGAUUUAACAUAUGCACUGUCUUUGCACGAGAGCUCAUGCAUUAGAUUACAUUCACGAGGGAGAAUUUUGAGUACUUAAGCUUAAUUUCACCUAUUAAAACACUAAUUUUGUAUGUUAUACUUUAAGUAACUUGAAAUACCCUGACACCCUGUAAAAUAUUUGACUGUUUUAAGCAGUAAGAGCGCUCUGAAUGUUCGGUCAUCUCAAAUUUGCUUCAAAUUUUCUGGCAUCUGUUACUGACCAAGUCUUCUGUAUUAUUUAACAUUGUAUUGCCAUGGUCCUUUGCUAAGCAUGUAGGUGCAGAAGCAAUUCUAACAACUAUCUGACUGCAAUCAGAGUACAGCUGCACACCAGACCUUAAUCAUUUCAGUUAUUCUGAGUAACUGCUUACAGUCUGCCUUCUGCAACACCUCAUUCAUUUGAGCCGCUGUUAAACAUUCUCUUGUAUGAGAAGAGUUUUUAAAAGGAAUUACUUCUUCCAGAAGUGGAAUAUGGUGAUAGCAGGUAGCCCUUGUAUUCUUCCUCCCUUCUGCAUGCUUAGGGCUAAUCUUCUGAUCUUGUUAGUUCCUUUUAAUCUCUAAAUUGUCUGUAUGUCCUCCCAAGACAGCUCUGCCCUUUCCUUUCCUUGAUGAUUUCAAGUUGUUUGUUGUUUCCAAGGUUAACUGUCAAGGGACAAGCUGUAAGAUCAUGCAUAUUUCCCCUACUGUAGUUAUUUGCAAAGAAAAGUAAGCUAUGAUGAAUGAGCAUCCACACUAAAAUAGAAAAUCGCAUACGAAAAUCUACCACCCCCAAGGACUUGAAAGGGCUUUUGGCAGCUAAAAAAAUACGCAUGUUCUCCUAACUCAUGAUGAAUAAAGGGACAGGAAGUAAAUUUUGCAGAAAUACAUUUUUAAAAAUUAACACCUAGAUUUAAAAUUAAAAAAAAAAAAAAAAAAAAA